rnacentral:lncRNA from 1 species
CUUAUUUAUUUUUAAUUCCUUCUUUUUCACUUUCAAUUUUUCAUUCUUUUCAUUUUUAUUUGUAAUUCUUUAUUCUUUUUUUUAUUUUUACUUUUCCCUUUUACCCCACCCAAAAACCCCAUUUUAAUUUCAAUUUUUUCCCUUUUUUUUGUCUUUUUUCCCCAAUUUUUUUCCUCCUUUCCCCUCAGUUUCCUCCUGGAUCGGCUCCUCCAGUACGAAAACGUCGACGAUGAUUCCUCAGACUCGGAAGCGACGGCGUCGUCCGACAACAGCGACGGCGACGGAGCCAAGGGGGCGGAGCCAACGCCCGCCAAGAGGCGCCGCUCGCCGUCCCCGCCCCCCCCAGCCUUUGGCCCCUCCCCCUAUUUGAUGGCGUCGCCGCCCUACGGCUCCUUCCCGGCGCCGUUCCCGCCCCUCCCCCCGCAGGGCGGGGCCCGGCCGCGCCCCUCCCCCGCCCGGCGCAGCAAAGGGACGCGCAGGGGGCAGUGA